AUGCGGGCCUGCAAAAUCCUGGAGACCCAUGCCCGCAGCUCCUGGGUUCCCGAGGGGAAAUCGGGAGUCCCUUCGCCUCCAGCUGAUGCAAGCCCACCGGACUCUACGACCACGGCCCAGCGGCCCUCCCGCACGCGUUACCGCCCAGGCACCUCGCACUUGUUUGAAAAAAGAAGUGAGAGAGCCCCCUCGCCGCCCAGCGCCUGGGGGAUCUGCGGCCCACCCGACCUUGUGUUGGUGAGAAAGUUCCAUCUAGAGGCGGCCGCGCGCAACUGCAGCCCGCGCCCCAGGCCCGACCUCCUGCCCUGGCCGCCGAGUGAGCCCAGGACAGAGCGUCUCCUCUCCCCACUGUCCAGACCGCGUAGGAACGUGGAGGAGAAAGGAACCGCCAGUGGAAGAUGGGGAGGAUGGAGGAGGGGAGGACAGGCCCGGUGCAAGGCAGGCCCUCUCUCCCCAGUCGGCAUCUCUGCAAUGAAUUACACCUUUCAAAGCAUCAUGAACUUCGUAAGCAUGAUGACAGAUGCCUGAGUAGGGCCUCCAGCUGCUGCAUGCUGAGGUGUGAUCUUGUCACUGCCAUGUUCAAGGAGGACUUGUCACAGCUGCGCCUUGACUAAAAGAACUCUCAGAGGUACUUGACUGUCGCUGGAUUGUGCUCCAACUGCCACAGCGAGGAGGCAUCUCAUCCGUCCCCACACCAGGCAAGGCCAAAACAUCCCCUCAAGUCAGCAGACAUCCAGGCACACCCAGUGCCCCACCAUAAAGACAAUUAGACAGUUCACCAUGCUCAAGUUCAAAUUAAUCAGGUGAGGAUUUUGUAAACUCACCAAGAAACAGACAAACAAUAUAAACCUGUCUUCAUGUCCAAACAGAAGCGUGUAGAGGCAGCCAGCUCACCAUCUGACAAGACCAGCCAUCUACCCAGGUGUCUCCUUCCAAGGAACUGUUUUCAGAAAAAUGCAUUCUCACACGUUCAUCUCGGAAGCUCAAAACAAGUGUGUUAGGCCUAAGAUUUUCUUUUGUAAAUUCUCAUAGGUGUAGCAGGAGGAAAGUGAGUCUGUUCUCUAUCAGUGAGGACCACCACCCUUAUCUGGGCUUGGAGAGGAGACAAAGAAAUAAGAAAACAGAAAGCAAAGAGGAAAAAGAGGGAAUGAAACAAGAAGGGAAGCCAGAAGUUUGCUUCAGAAUUUUGUGUGUGUGUACUCAGUCAUGUCCGACUAUUUGCAACCCCAUGGACUCCUGCAGCCCACCAGGCUCCUCUGUUCAUGGGAUUGUCCAGGCAAGAAUACUGGAGUGGGUUGCCAUUUCCUUCUCCAGGGGAUAUUCCUGACGCAGGGAUCAAACCCUUGCUUCUUGAGUCUCUUGCAGGCAGACUCUUUACCACCUGGAACAGAAUUAAAGUUACCCCAAAACCAGGAGCACUAGUUUCUAAGGAACUCAAAUUUUGACCAAACCUAGAAUAACUGAUCUGGAAAAAACUAUUGAGAUGAUCUUUCCAAACCCCUCAAAUUCUGGUGAGGAAACUGAUGGCCAGAGUCCCUGACAAGUUAGAGGAAGAGAUGGGAAUAGAAGCUGGCUUGCUGACCCCAGUCUAGUCCUUGGCACACUACCCUGACCUUGAAUGGGGAGUGUUUAGUUUUACAUUUUUAGUUAUGUAUAUAUGGUAUAUAUGUUUGCAGCAUUACAGGUUUAUUUUCUCUGUGUUUGACUAUUCUAUGUAAUAUAUUUUCAAAUUAAGUUAAUAUGUUUUAUACUAAAUCACACUCUAACAUUGACUGGGUGUUUAAAUUUACAUGACCAAAUGUCUUAACCUCAUUCAAAAUGAAGUGUAUUCAAAUAAAGGAGACAAAGAAAGUGAAUAUUGCA
ensembl:lncRNA